GACGAACGCUGGCGGCGUGCUUAACACAUGCAAGUCGAACGCUGAAGACCUGGCUUUUGUUGGGUUGGAUGAGUGGCGAACGGGUGAGUAACACGUGAGUAACCUGCCCUCUUCUUUGGGAUAACGCCCGGAAACGGGUGCUAAUACUGGAUAUUCACUGGCCUUCGCAUGGGGGUUGGUGGAAAGGUUUGUUCUGGUGGGGGAUGGGCUCGCGGCCUAUCAGCUUGUUGGUGGGGUGAUGGCCUACCAAGGCUUUGACGGGUAGCCGGCCUGAGAGGGUGACCGGUCACAUUGGGACUGAGAUACGGCCCAGACUCCUACGGGAGGCAGCAGUGGGGAAUAUAGCACAAUGGGCGAAAGCCUGAUGCAGCGACGCCGCGUGAGGGAUGGAGGCCUUCGGGUUGUAAACCUCUUUCGCUCAUGGUCAAGCCGCAACUGUGGGUUGUGGUGAGGGUAGUGGGUAAAGAAGCGCCGGCUAACUACGUG
rnacentral:rRNA from 1 species